AUAUUUAUCUGGCACGGGAGACACCAUGCUCAAGAUGGUGGUUUUCCCAGGCGAGGCUCACCCAUUGCACUGCGGGUGUGCUGACCCCUGGUGAUUCCCCAAAUGUGGGAAACUCAGCUGCAUCAUUUGUGGUAGUGGGGGACUGCGUUCACACUCUCCCCUG
rnacentral:snRNA from 1 species